ACUACACGUAGAAGUUCUAGAGUCAAAAAGAAAAAGAAAAUAAAAACCAUCUCUCUUUUUUUUUUCUCAACCAAGGAAAACCUGAAUCGUUUUAUUUCCUUCUUUUCUCUUCCUCAUCUCCUUCACACUUCUUCUUCCUCUCUAGGGUUAAGAGUAGGGAGAAGCCAAGGUUUUGGCUAAGCAGCCAUGAGUGAGACGAGAGAUAAGCAUUGCAACGACGUAAUCAACAGGGAGAGAAUGAAUUGAAGCUGUGAUGAAGUCUUUGAGCUUGUCGACAACAAACAGUCGUUUGAAGAUCUGGUGACAGGAGUGUGAAGAAGAGUAAAGGCACGGCGGAGGCGUCUUUUUCUCUUAAUCUCGCCGAAUUUCUGCAGUUAUUGAGUACAAGCCAGAAAUUUCGAAUUGGAUCAACCUAAUUGGAUUCGUCGAGCAACCUUUUCAGUUCGGUCCUUGCUCCGAUGGAAAUUUCUGGGCUGGAACUGUGAUUUCUCAGCGUUUGGGUUCAAAUUUCAUCUAGUUUCUGGUACAUUUUUUGAAAGCAUGAGUGUGUUGUUGGUAAUUUGUUUGUGUAUUUUCCAUGUUUGAAACAGUUUAAGUUGGUAAUCACGCUUCUAUUCUAGUGAUUUGCUGAGAUAAGCUCUUUCUAAGAUUUUCGAUGCUUGAGUCUGGAGUUUGGUGAUGUCGAUUUGAAACUGGUUAUAUAAAUCUGCCUCUGUCUCUAUAUGUUUGUUUAUAUUGCAGAAUCUUUGAAUUUGACCUUAACUUGAUCUGUAUAUGAGAGUCUUUUACUUCUUCUCCCAUGGUGAUAUUAGCUUUUUCAUAUAUGAAACUUCAAAUCUGUUGCUAAGAGCUUAUGUCAUAUUCUUUCUUGUAACUUGACCCAAUUUCUUAAGAUUUUCUUUCCUCUUCAAAGAUCUUACCCGCAAGAUCCAAUCUUCCGAAUCUCGAGGCCGUUGAUGAUAGUAUUGUGGAUCGUACCGUCAUCGGAGUGAUGACUGUAGUAUGUAGAGAGUGGACCUAGAGCUUUGCAGUAUCUUGGCUUAGAUGGAGACAAAGGAGCUACAAAACAAUUUGGAAAGGCUCAAGCACGAGCUGCUGAAUUAGAGAAGCAUCUAGACGUACUUUUUGGAGCAAAAGAACAAGGAGAAAGAUUCCACAGAAACUCGGACUAAUGAAGCUGAGAAGAAACUAAGUGAACUUAACUCCAGCCUUGACAAAUUUCCAUUCUUAUCUAUAGUGUUUGAUGAAGUCUAAAGCAAGUACUGUACUAGUGGAUGUAUCCGAUUCUGUUGUAGAAAACAACACUCAAUAUGCUGUAGAUGGAACUUCUCAGACAGUGACACUCAAUCCUUUCCCCCACCAACGUUUCUGCCCUUCAGGUUAUUUGUAAGAAUUUGUUGAUUUGUGGUGUUAGUUUAAGAUUUGAAUCGAUGUUAUGUUAGACUUGUUUUGGUUAAUGUUAUGUAAGACUUGUUUUGGUUAAUAUUAUGUAAGACUUGCUUUGGUUAAUGUAAUGUUAAUGAGAUGUAUUAUAUUUUGAGCCU